CAUGUGUGUUAGUGGAAGCGUCUGGAAAGGCGCGCGAUACAGGGUGACAGCCCCGUACACAAAAGCGCAUGUGCUGUGAGCUCGAUGAGUAGGGCGGGACACGUGGUAUCCUGUCUGAAUAUGGGGGGACCAUCCUCCAAGGCUAAAUACUCCUGACUGACCGAUAGUGAACCAGUACCGUGAGGGAAAGGCGAAAAGAACCCCGGCGAGGGGAGUGAAAAAGAACCUGAAACCGU
rnacentral:rRNA from 1 species